rnacentral:tRNA from 1 species
GGGUCAGUAGCUCAGCGGUAGAGCGUUUGCCUGUUAAGCAAAUUCGCCCGGGUUCGAUCCCCGGCUGGCCCU